GAGAAUCAGCAGGGGCCUGUGGGUCCCGCAGCCUCAGGUGCUACCUUUGAGGCCCUGCUCGCCUCUCCUGGAUGGUGCCUGCCUCCCUCCACCUUUGCACCAGGAGCAGAUGCUGAGGACUGACGGCGCCUGUCUCAGCUCUGGCUUGUGUUCCAUUUCAUGGAGAUUCCCCGUCACUGCCCAGCCUCAAAUUCCCCAUGAAGUCCGGAGCUUCAGAUGAAUUUGUGAGAAAGAGGGAGAGAAGGAGGGAGAUGGGGCAGGCGUGGGGGCAUGGUCUCCACACUUGGGAGUUUUCAUUUCACCUGGAGCACCCG
rnacentral:lncRNA from 1 species